AGCGAACGCUGGCGGCAGGCCUAAACAUGCAAGUCGAACGCCGUAGCAAUACGGAGUGGCAGACGGGUGAGUAACACGUGGGAACGUGCCCUUUGGUUCGGAACAACACAGGGAAACUUGUGCUAAUACCGGAUAAGCCCUUACGGGGAAGAUUAUCGCCAAAGGAUCGGCCCGCGUCUGAUUAGCUAGUUGGUGGGGUAACGGCCCGACCAAGGCUACGAUCAGUAGCUGGUCUGAGAGGAUGAUCAGCCACACUGGGACGUGAGACACGGCCCAGGACUCCUACGGGAGGGCAGCAGUUAGGAAUCUUGGACAAUAGGGCGGCAAGCCUGAUCCAGCCAUGCCGCGUGAGUGAUG
rnacentral:rRNA from 1 species